GAUGAACGCUGGCGGCGUGCCUAAUACAUGCAAGUCGAGCGAACAGACGAGGAGCUUGCUCCUCUGACGUUAGCGGCGGACGGGUGAGUAACACGUGGAUAACCUACCUAUAAGACUGGGAUAACUUCGGGAAACCGGAGCUAAUACCGGAUAAUAUAUUGAACCGCAUGGUUCAAUAGUGAAAGACGGUUUUGCUGUCACUUAUAGAUGGAUCCGCGCCGCAUUAGCUAGUUGGUAAGGUAACGGCUUACCAAGGCAACGAUGCGUAGCCGACCUGAGAGGGUGAUCGGCCACACUGGAACUGAGACACGGUCCAGACUCCUACGGGAGGCAGCAGUAGGGAAUCUUCCGCAAUGGGCGAAAGCCUGGCGGAGCAACGCCGCGUGAGUGAUGAAGGUCUUCGGAUCGUAAAACUCCGUUAUUAGGGAAGAACAAAUGUGUAAGUAACUAUGCACGUCUUGACGGUACCUAAUCAGAAAGCCACGGCUAACUACGUG
rnacentral:rRNA from 1 species